CUCCGCUCCUGACUCAUCCCCGUGGUCACACCUGUCUGCCAUCACACCUGUCGCCGCCUAUUCCUACUCAUCACGCCGCUCCUCUUUGCUGGUUGCCGUUCAUGCUUCUUCCUGAAUUGUGGGUAUCCCUUGGUUCCUUCUCCGAGCCACCCCCAACUCUCCCAUCCGAGUACUCGAGGUCAAGCCUCAUCGCCACCACCACUCCCCACCCAGCCCUUCUCAUGUCCGGACUCGCCCAAGGUCAUCUUUCCAAGUUUGCUCCCAGCAGUGAUUUUCCCAGUCAUCAGGGGCCAGAUCCACGAAACGGUUAUUAUCAACCUCCGGCAGCCAAAUGGUAUCCAAGAACGCAUAAGAGGCAGACCUAAUCCUCUUGUUUGAGAAGAUGCAGUCUCAGCUGGAGAGAAGAACAAGGCAUAGCCAGGCAUUACCAACUCACACCCAAGUUUUGUUGGCCCUGAGAUUGUUUGCCAGUGGGUCCUUCCAAAACGUCAUUGGAGACACUGCAGGACUUACGCAAGCGUCAGCAGGGUCUUCGAGUGUGUGUGCAUCGUGUUGAGUGAUAAGUCAGUGCAAGAAAUCAAGAUGCCUUCAACACACCUUGAUCAAAGGAGGACUGCACAGCAGUUCUUCAGGACCGAAAAUUUCUUAAGAGUUAUUGGGGCCAUUGAUAGCACCCACAUUGCCAUCAAGGCCCGAAGAGUGGACAAGGCCCUCUACUUUAACUGGAAAAGCUAUCACUCCCUCUGAAAAUCCAACUUGUUUGUGAUGCGAAUGGAGUGAUCCUCAGCUACUGCUUCAGAUUUUUCAGGGCCUUUGUUGGAGGCGAAUGAAUGUCACUGUCUGCAUUACCAGAAGAGGCGCGUCUGAAGUGACCAAGAUAGGAAGGUACGUGGACUCCCAGGAGAGGCUGUACCAGUUCCUCACAUAUGCUGGUGUGUACAUAUAGUGUGCCUGCACGUGUAUGCAUGUGAAUCUAGUCUUACCUUAUGUUACCUAAACCAGUGUAACCUGACUUUAUCCUGACUACUGGAAAUAACUGUAUAGGAAUUAAGCUUGUAAUGCCCUGUGUUUUAGCAGUAGAUUGUUGUGUUUUGCUUAGUUUUUACAGGGUGUCCUGCAAGUUUAGGUACACACUUUAGGUAUGAUAGUUCAAGUAAUUCUAAGUUGAAAAUACUCUAUACACAUAUGCUGUUUUGUUUUAUUUUGUGAGAAAUUAAUGUGUAGCUAAGUUGUGAGUUGCGGGAGCUGCUUGCCUGGGUGUGCCUCCGCCUCCUUCCUCCCCUCCUUGGCUCGCUACGUACUCGCGUGAUGCUGCGUAGCAUUAAGUGAUAAAUUUUUGUGUACAUUGUAUGCAGUCAAAUCCUUACAGGAAAUAGCAAAUAACAGAUUAAAUUUUUGUAUGUGCCAGUGAAGAAAAUGUGCAGGUAACACAGCAAUACAGCGGUUAUUCAGUGCUACUUUUUAAAACACACAUGGCAGUUCACUGCAAAUGUCAUCCCCUUUGACAGUUAUCAUCUUGACAUUUAAAUGGCAAGCCUUGUCAAUCAAGUGAUAGCCAAAGUGCAUCUUUUUGCUCCUGUCAUUCCUUAUCUGCUCUGCAGCUUCCUUAAUGCUGUGAAUCAACUCCUCUCUGUAACGUGAUUUGUUCUUGUAUACCAAGGAUUUCAUGAGUCCCCAAAGGAAAGAAAUCCGUUGGUGUUAGGUGAAGGGAUCUUGCUGGCUAUUCCUGUGGAUCUCCACAGUUUCCUUCAUCAGGAAACUGAUCCCAGGGAAGCCGCUCCCACAACACACAACUUACAGGUUAAUUUCUCACAAAAUAAAGCAAACAACAUGUGUGUGUAUAGAGUAUUUUUGACUUAGGAUUAGUUGAACUAUCAUAUCCUAAGGUAUGUACCUUAAUUCAUGGUACACCCUGUAUUGUUAGUACACACACACACACACACACACACACACACACACACACACACACACACACACACACACACACACACACACACACACACACACACACACUGUGCUGCCCAGCUAAUUGGACACAUCCACAGCAGCUCUAAGGAGUUACCUAAGUUUUGGUUGUACAGGGUGCCCGAGCUUGAGUCCUGUCUCUAUAAGAGGGAAUUGUGUGAUGUGUGAGUGCAGGGGAAGUGAAGUGUAAAUUGGGAAGUGAGCAAAAAGGUGAAUGGGAGAGUAGUGUAUGGGUAAACAUUGUCUUGUCAGUGAUACCAAGAAGGAAGAUGGUGGCGGACACAGCAAAUAUUUUUGAGGGUUUCAAGGAAGAAGACCUCAGUGUAGCUUAUACAAAUAAACAAAUAUGGAAAAUUGAAGAAAAUGUGAAAAUAUGAUAAAUUCAUAACUUAGCAAUAAUAAAGACAUGGAAGGAAGAGAGAGAGAGGUGGGUGGUGGCAAUGUAAAAAGAUAUCCAGUGAUAUAAUAGAGAUGAAGAAGAGGAAGAUGGAAAGAGAAAAAGAAAACAAAGAACUGAGAGAAGAGGUGACAAUAAUAGUGAACUUUAACAAGAAGUACUAUAAAGAAAUCAAGAAACUCAAGGAAGAGAACGAGGAGUUAAAGAAAGCUUUACAAGAGAGAGAGAGAGAGAUUAAGGUUGGGAAAGUGAAAGAGUCAGUGACAGCAGAAGUCAAAAGUUGGAAAGAAGAGAGAGAACAACAACAAAAGGUGAAUAUAGAUAAGAUCAUAAGGCAACAGCAACAGGAACACAAUAAGGACAUGGAAAAGCAAUUGAUUAAAAUAAUAAAGGAAAAAAAGUAAUCUUGUGAGAGACAUCGUGCAGAGAAAGAUGUUUGUGGUGGUAUUUGGGGUCAAGGAGAAGAACUUACUAAUGAAAAUAGCUAGAGAGAAAGAAGAGGCAAAAAAGACUAAGGAAAUUAUAGCAGAAGUGGCAGAGGAAUGAGAGGAGAUAGUUGAACAAAUUGAAGAGGUUUACAGGAUUGAAAAAUACAAUGAAAAUGGAACAAGACCAAUGAAAAUAAGAUUCAUGGCACAAACAGCAGUGAAAUAUGUCUUGCAAAGAACAAGAAAAUUGGCAAAAGUAGAAGGAAUGAAUAAAUAUGAAUAAAGGAGAGAGAAGUAAACUGAAAGAGUAAAGUAGAGGAAAGUAGUAGAGUAGAGGCCCAGUCAAAAAAUGAGGAGAGAACACAAGAACAAGCAAGGAGAUUUGCUUGGAAAGUUGUGGACAUGAAAGUGAGGAAAUGGUGCCACAAAGAUACCACACCAAGCAGAAGUUUAAAGAUUAUGUAUACUAAUGUAGAUGGUUUGGUGUUCAGCCAAAUGGAACUUAAAGGCUACCUAAAGAACAAUAAACCAGAUGUGGUUUAUUUAAUGGAAAUUACACUAAGAGGAAAUAAAGUUGGAAUUUGCAAAGGAAGGUUGUAGUGCAUGGAGGAGAGACAGAAAAGGAAAGGGAGGAAGAGGAACAAUGAUAUUGGUAAAAGAGGAUAUUGUUGUUGAGGAAGUGGAAUAUGUCGAUGGAAUGGCAGAAACUUUGAGUGUUGUGAUUAAGAUCAAAUGAAAUGAAAAAAAGGAAAGUUACUGUGAUGUACGUACCACCAAAAACUAAUGCAUGGGAGACUGAUGGAUAUAAAACUAUACAACUAAAAACAAGAAAUAGCACAGGAAAUGAUAAGGAAAAGUAACAAAGUGCUUUUAGUAGGCAGCUUCAACACUAAAGGAAUGAACUGGCAGAAGAUGGAAGUGAAAGAAAAUGUUGGGUCAUGGAGUGAACUUAUUUUUCAUAUAUAUUUACUUAUUUAUUUUUUUUAUGUAGGAGGGACACUGGCAAAGGGAAACAAAAAUCCAAUAAAAAAAAAGCUCACUUGUGAUACCAGACCUGGAUUGGGUCAGAAGUAGUAGUCAAGAAUUGAAGGAUAUGUGUUUUGAAACCUCCCUCUUGAAAGAGUUCAAAUCAUAGGAAGGUGGAAAUACAGUAGCAGGCAGGGAGUUCCAGAGUUUACCAGAGAAAGGGAUGAGUGACUGACUGAGAAUACUGGUUAACUCUUGCAUUAGAGAGGUGGACAGAACAGGGGUGAGAGAAACAAGUCUUGUGCAGUGAGGCCAUGGGAGGAGGGGAGACGUGCAGUUAGCAAGAUCAGAAGAGCAGUUAGCAUGAAAAUAGUGGUAGAAGACAGCUAGAGAUGCAACAUUGCAGCAAUGAGAAAGAGGCUGAAGACAGAAGAGAGUUGAUGAGAUGAAAAGCUUUUGAUUCCAUCCUGUCUAGAAGACUGGUAUGAGUGGAAUCCCCCAGACAUGUGAAUCAUACUCCAUACAUAGACAGAUAAGGCUCCUGUACAGAGUUAGUAGCUGGAAGGGUGAGAAAAAAUAACGGAGAUGUCUCAGAACACCUAACUUCAUAGAAGAUGUUUUAGCUAGAGAUGAGAUGUGAAGUUUCCAGUUCAGAAUAUAAGUAAAGAUGUUCAGUGUAGAAGAGGGGGACAGUUGAGUGUCAUUGAAGAAGAGGGGAUAGUUGUCUGGAAGGUUGUGUUGAGUUGAUAGAUGGAGGAAUUGAGUUUUUGAGGCAUUGAACAAUACCAAGUUUGCUUUACUCCGAUCAGAAAUUUUUGAGAGAUCAGAAGUCAGGCGUUGUGUGGCUUCCCUGCAUGAACUGUUUUCUUCCUGAAGGGUUGGACGUCUACGAAAAGACGUGAAAAAGUGCAUGGUGAUAUCACCACCAUACCAUGCUUACCAUGAUGGUGAAUACAAUGAGACAGUGGGUGAACGAACUUACAAGAUACAAAGAAGAAGAACCAUCACAGUUGGACUUAGUGUUUACAAAAAAUCCCAGAAAGUAGACCAAGUAUACAUUGUCUGAGUCCACUGGGAAGAAGUGAUCAUGUGACAAUAGAAAUAAUGCCACAGGAGGAAAAAGUGUUGCACAGGAAUGAACAAUUUUGAAAUGGGAGACAGAACUAUUCUAAGGCAAACUUUGCAGAACUCAAUAAAUUUUAUGGAGAAAUUAACUGGGAAGAACUAUUUAAAGGUAAAGUAGUGCAAGAAAAAUGAGAUAUUUUUGAGUAAGUAUAGAGAGGGGGUGCAACAGUUUGUGCCAAGUUAUAAAGUGUAAAUUUGGAAGCAUGAAUGGUAUAAUGGCAGGUGAGUAGAAGCAAAAAGGAAAAAGGACAGGGCUUGGAGGAAAUGAUGAGACAACUGAACACAAAUACUAGGGAAGAAUACAGAAAGGCAAGGAAUGAAUAUGGUAUAAUAAGAAAAGAAGAAGAAAGAAAUUUUGAAAGUGAGAUAAUAAGAAAAUGCAAGGAAGAGCCCAGAACUCUUCUACCGAUACAUAAACAGGAAAAUGAAACAUAGGAUGACAUAAACAAGUUAAGAAGAGAAGGAAGAAUUUAUGAAACUACUGAGGAGAUGAGUGAACUAAUGAAUGAGAGUUUUCAGUCCACAUUUACAAAGGAAACUGAUUUUGUGGCACUGAAAGUGGUAUCACAGAAUGAGGGAAUACAGGAAAUACAAGUAAAGAGACAACAAAUCAAGAAACUGCUGAAGAGCUGGAUGUUAGAAAAGUUGUGGGACCAGAUCAAGUAAAUGGAUGGAUAUUAAAAGAAUGCAGAGAACAAAUGGAAAAACCCAUAUGGGAUAUAAUUAACAGCUUGUUGCGAGAAGGAAAAGUACCAAGGGAAUGGAAAAGAGCUAACAAAGUCCCAAUAUACAAACAGGGAAGUUAAAUGGAACCAUUGAAUUACAGACUAGUGUCACUAACAAGUAUUGUAAGCAAGCUUUGUGAAAUAGUGAUUAAAGACAGAUGGGUGCAGUAUUUAGAAGAUGAAAAGAUAAUUACAGAAAAGCAAUUUGGAUUCAGGAAAGGGAUAUCCUGUGUCACAAAUCUACUGAGCUUCUGUACAAGAGUAAUAGAUGGAGUGCAAGAGAGGGAUGGAUGGGUUUGUGCAGUACACCUGGAUCUCUAAAAAAGCAUUUGAUAAAGUUCCACACAAAAGUCUUAUGUGGAAGUCAGAGAAUGAAGGAGGGCUAAAGGGAGCAAUGUUGAGAUAGACAGAAGAUUAUUGACAAGGGAGGGAAUUGAGAACAGUAAUCAGAGACACUAAUUCAAGUUGGUGCAAAGUGACAAGUGGGGUACCACAAGGAUCUGUGUUGGCACCUAUUAUGUUUCAAAUAUAUGUAAAUGAUAUGACAGAGGAUCUAAAUAGUUAUAUAAACCUUUUUGCUGAUGAUGCAAAAAUAAUGAAAAUAGUAAAGGAUGAAAAUGACUGCAAGGAGUUACAAAAGGAUAUUGACAAGAUACAUACAUAGAGCCAAAGAUGGAAACUAGAAUUCAGUGCCAGAAAAUGCCAUGUGUUGGAAAUAGGAAAAAGUAAAAAGAUAUCUUCAUUGAAUUACAAAAUGGGAAGAGAAAUAAUAACAAAAAAUUUCAAGAAGAAAAAGAAGGCACAUAAACAUAAUAUUUGGCUCUACAUACAGCCUUUUAACAGACAUUAGGGUGGCAUUUAACUAUUUAGAUAGAGAAAUAAUGAAGAAAAUUAUAACAAGAAUGAUAUAACCUAAAUUGGAGCACGCAGCGUUAGUUUGGGCUCCAAAUAGGAAAAAAAGAUAUACAGAAACUGGAAAGAAUACAGAGGAUAGCAACAAAGAUGGUACCAGAACUGAAAGACUUAAGCUAUGAAGAAAGACUUGAAGAGAUGGGAUUACCAACGCUACAAGAGAGAAGAGUAAGAGGAGACCUGAUAACAAUGUACAAAUUAGUAAACAAUAUAGAAAGAAUAGACCGAAUUGACUUGCUAUCACAGAUGGAGGAGGGAGAGAGAUGGGCGAGGGGACAUGGGAAGAAAAUAAAGAAGAGUGGAUGUUUGAGCGGCACCAAGAAAUGCAGCUUCCUGUAUCAAACUGUUGAAAUCUGGAAUGAUUUGAAGGAAGAGGUGGUUGUGGCAAACAGUGUACACAUGUUUAAAGAGAAACUGGAUAAAUAUGGUUAUGGAGACAGGACAAAAUAAACUUUGGCUCGUGCCCUGUACAAUGCACACGCACACACACACACACACACACACACACACACACACACACACACACACACACACACACACACACACACACACACACACACACACACACACAGAUACCAACA